AUUGAACGCUGGCGGCAGGCCUAACACAUGCAAGUCGAGCGGAUGAAGGGAGCUUGCUCCUGGAUUCAGCGGCGGACGGGUGAGUAAUGCCUAGGAAUCUGCCUGGUAGUGGGGGAUAACGUCCGGAAACGGGCGCUAAUACCGCAUACGUCCUGAGGGAGAAAGUGGGGGAUCUUCGGACCUCACGCUAUCAGAUGAGCCUAGGUCGGAUUAGCUAGUUGGUGGGGUAAAGGCCUACCAAGGCGACGAUCCGUAACUGGUCUGAGAGGAUGAUCAGUCACACUGGAACUGAGACACGGUCCAGACUCCUAAGGGAGGCAGCAGUGGGGAAUAUUGGACAAUGGGCGAAAGCCUGAUCCAGCCAUGCCGCGUGUGUGAAGAAGGUCUUCGGAUUGUAAAGAACUUUAAGUUGGGAGGAAGGGCAGUAAGUUAAUACCUUGCUGUUUUGACGUUACCAACAGAAUAAGCACCGGCUAACUUCGUG
rnacentral:rRNA from 1 species